UAAGGAAUAUUGCUCAAUGGGAGAAAUCCUGAAGCAGCAACGCCGCGUGGAGGAUGAAGGGCUUUCAGCUUGUAAACUCCUGUAAAGAAGGAAAAAAUUCCCAUUAGAUGGGAAAUGAUGGUACUUCCAAAGGAAGCCCCGGCUAACUACGUGCCAGCAGCCGCGGUAAUACGUAGGGGGCAAGCGUUACUCGGAUUUACUGGGCGUAAAGCGAAUUAAGGCGGUCUUGUAAGUCAGAGGUGAAAUCCCUCAGCCUAACUGAGGAAUAGCCUUUGAUACUGCUUGACUAGAGGACAGGAGAGGAAAGUGGAAUUCCCGGUGUAGCGGUGGAAUGCGUAGAUAUCGGGAGGAACACCAGAGGCGAAGGCGGCUUUCUGGACUGGUCCUGACGCUGAUAUUCGAAAGCUAGGGGAGCAAACG
rnacentral:rRNA from 1 species